CAAGUACUCCCUCCGUCCGGAAUUACUUGUUAUCAAAAUGGAUGUGUCUAGAACUAAAAUACAUCUAGAUACAUCCAUUUCAAUGACAAGUAUUUUCGGACGGAGGGAGUACAAG
rfam:Triticum aestivum genome assembly, contig: Triticum_aestivum_CS42_TGACv1_scaffold_182630_2DS